rnacentral:rRNA from 1 species
GUGCCAGCAGCCGCGGUAAUACGAAGGGGGCUAGCGUUGUUCGGAAUUACUGGGCGUAAAGCGCACGUAGGCGGGUCUGUAAGUAGAGGGUGAAAUCCCAGGGCUCAACCCUGGAACUGCCUUCUAGACUGCAGGCCUCGAGGUCAGGAGAGGCGAGUGGAAUACCGAGUGUAGAGGUGAAAUUCGUAGAUAUUCGGUGGAACACCAGUGGCGAAGGCGACUCGCUGGACUGAUACUGACGCUGAGGUGCGAAAGCGUGGGGAGCAAACAGGAUUAGAAACCCGCGUAGUCC